CCUCCCUCUCUGUGAGAGCCUCUAAGGACUCUCUGUGACCUGAUGACCCUCCCAGGAUGGAACCAUCACCUUGGAGCAGGACCAACUCUAGGAUGUCAUCUGUCACUUUUUGAAGGCUUAUACCACCACCUUCAAGCUACAACCCAACCCACAGGACCCGGCAUCCUGCAAGGACCAUGGGGAAGAACAAUGGUCCAGAGACAGACUCUGAGCAGGAGGCUUCAGCGACUCACCAACAAGAACAGGCUCCAGAGCAAACUGGAUGGUAGAAAGAAGAGCUGGUGUCAAAAAAAUUCAAUGUGAAAAUGUUCAGAGAGUUAAAUAUGCGUUACAUGUUUGGUGUUUUGCCUCCGUGUAUGUCUAUGCAACAUGUGCAUGCUUGGUGCCCACAAAGGUCAGAAGAGGGCCCUGGAUGCCCUAGAGCCAGAAGAACACAUGGUUGUCAGCCACCAUGUAGAUGGUGAGAAUGGAACCUGAGUCCUCUGAAAGAUCCGUCCGUGCUCUUAGCCACUGAGCCAUUUCUCCAGCCUCUACAUAUGUGUUCUUUAAAAAGCCAUAAAGCAUACUCAAGAGAGCAGAAGGAAAUAACAUAUCUAUAGGGGAUGACCUUUUAAGCUCACAUACGAUCAGAGGACGCUGUAAGGGUUGGAUUACAUCAAUUCAUGAAUAAUGCAAUUUCACAAUAAUAAAGCCCAGUGCUUCUUGGCAUCACA